AAGAUAAAGUUUGAGAAGACAAGCUUUGGCUUGUCUUGAACAAGUUGAUUACAAAGAGCAAAUUCAUCUGAAAAGAGAAAGCAUAAAUUAUCCCUAAGAUUCUUCUCAAUAUGGACGGCAGCAUGAUAGGAUAGAAAAAGUACAGAUUUUAGGAUCACUAUUGCCUGGUUUUUAAUCUAAAAUUCACCACAAACUGGCUGGAUGAGCAAUGGUAAAUGAAUCAACCUUUGUGAGUCUAAACUUACUCUUAGAAUAAGUACCUUCAAGAUUGCUAGAAAAUAAUUAAGGACUUGGCACAUAACCUGGCAUGUAGUGGGCACCAAAAUGUAUUAGUUUUUUUCCCCAUCUAUUCCUUUUUAUUACCCUAAAAUUCUAUGAAUUGUAGGAACCGGAUUACUCAGGUUAUAAAGAUUAUUGUCUCAAGGUCUUCCUAGCUUAGUGAACCUCAAGCUGGUAACUACAUUUCUUCAUGAGUAACAUUAGGGUUAAAAUAUAUGCUUUGUUUCCUCUCUGCUUGUUAAAACAAAUAAAUAGUAUAAAAACACGGUCACAAGAAAAGGGCUAUACUCAUGGACCGGGAGGAAAUUAACAUUUCUGAGUGCUUACAGUUUUAGAUGAUUUGUUCGCAGGAUCAUUCAAACUCCAUCACAUUACUACGAGUUAUUUAAUUCACAAGUGAGAAAACCACAGGAAGGGUAAGUGACUUGGCUAAGGCCCCUCAACUGUUAAGUCACAGAGCAGCAAAGUCAGUCCAAGCAUGCUCACCUACCCACUGUACACAUGACUUCUGAAGCACUAAGGUUGUUAGUAAGAGGAAGGGGGACUAUUGAUCUUUAAGCAAGAAUUCUGAAGGGAAAGGUGAAGGUGAGAAAAGGAAGAAACGUCCAUGCUAAUUCAUCAUAUAUUCUAAUACACUUCAGCCACAGAAUAAAGAAACCAUGCCAGUUGCUGCUACUGCAGACAGAGAGCGAAGAAAUCCUCUACGAGCCCCAUGGGUUUACAGAAGUCUAUCCAUCACUCUGUCAGUCUUCCGGAUCAUUAUUCAAGUUGCUAUCCCCAAUUUUGCUGGAUAUAUCAGAUCAACUCCAGCUCCAUAGAUGGACAGUGUGUUUUCUUCCUAUUUUUAAAGACCGCAAAGAGGAAAACUGAUGAAUAUUAUAAGGACACACUGGAAAGUGCAUUGUUACUAUGGCAAUAAAAAAGAGAACAAAUGUCAAAAUAUUUUUUUGGUAAAAUUCCAUUUCUCUGGGUAAAAUUUUACAGUCCUUUGCAUCAAGUGUAAGCAAAUACUCUUCAUGUGACAUUUUUAAUUAAAUAUUUCC
rnacentral:lncRNA from 1 species